UAGCGAAGGGGGCUAGCGUUGUUCGGAAUCACUGGGCGUAAAGCGCACGUAGGCGGGAUUUUAAGUCAGGGGUGAAAUCCCGAGGCUCAACCUCGGAACUGCCUUUGAUACUGGGGAUCUGGAGUCCGGGAGAGGUGAGCGGAACUGCGAGUGUAGAGGUGAAAUUCGUAGAUAUUCGCAAGAACACCAGUGGCGAAGGCGGCUCACUGGCCCGGAACUGACGCUGAGGUGCGAAAGCGUGGGGAGCAAACAGG
rnacentral:rRNA from 1 species